UGGUUAUACUGAUGUCCCAACAUGCCUUAUGUCCCUAGUGGCAUCUUUCUCAGAAAAACAAAGUCCUCUAAAUAAACACCACUGGCUUUGGAAUCAUCUGGAAGGAGAGGGCAGCUGAGCAACAUCUCGUCUAUGCACAGUCAUGUGCUAUUUUGUUUAUACCCAGCAAUGAGGAUAAGCAUCUAAAGCAAAGGCCCUCAGCCAAGCAGAUGGUGCCCACCCACAUUGGAUGAGGAUGGAUCUUCCUUAAUCAGGCCAUAAAAUCAAAUGUCGACCCCCCUGGAAAUACCUUCACAGACAUCCAGAAAUAAUGCUUUUUAUCAACUACCUUGGGAACUCUUAAUAUAAUCAAAGGAGGCUACCACAAGAGGGAAUUUGAUGGAUGCCAGUGUCCAUGGAUGAGAGAGGGGAUUGUACCCUGUGUUGUUUUCAUGCUCCAGAGAAAGGAGAGUCUGGAAAUGCCAGGAGGACAAACAUCUUGUGGGUUUGGAGUCCUCCCAUCUGUCCACUUGCAGUCUCACUUGAACUCAUUUCCCUCAAGGAAGAGGAGAAAGAGUCCCUUGUCAGUACCUUGGACGAGGGGCUCUGCCCUCAGUGGCAGCUACACACACAGAGGAGGAGCACAGUGCUCAGUCCCUCGCACCCCUCUGAAGAGCCACUUGAUGGCAUCACCUAGGAAUGUGGUCACAGUUCCUGCCUGAGUUACACUUGCUGUGUAAAUAAGGAGCUAAAAUAGAUCCUUGGCAGGGGUGAGGGGUGUUAUGAGGUGAGGAGCCCUGAGAGGACGGCUGUUUGUGAGGAAAGGCAUAGCACUUCCUCACUUCCUCACAUAGCACUUAUCCUGAGUGUCUUUUCUGCAUCCUUUUGAAUACUCCUCUGCAGUCCUAAAAAAGAAAAAAAAAAAGGAAAAAGAAAAAGAAAGUACUAGCAGGGAAAUGGAUGGCAUUAGAGCAGAUUAUGCUAAGUGAAGCUAGCCAAUCCCUAAAAAACAAAUGCCAAAUGUCUUCUUUGAUAUAAGGAGAGUAACUAAGAACAGAGUAGGGAAGAAGAGCAUGAGAAGAAGAUUAACAUUAAAC